AUUGAACGCUGGCGGCAGGCCUAACACAUGCAAGUCGAGCGAGCGGCGGACGGGUGAGUAAUGUCUGGGAAACUGCCUGAUGGAGGGGGAUAACUACUGGAAACGGUAGCUAAUACCGCAUACCAUCAGAUGUGCCCAGAUGGGAUUAGCUAGUAGGUGGGGUAACGGCUAACCGAGGCGACGAUCCCUAGCUGGUCUAGGAGGAUGCACAGCCACACUGGAGUUGCUGCACGGUCCGGACUCCCACGGGAGGCAGCAGUGGGGAAUAUUGCACAAUGGGCGCAAUCCUGAUGCAGCCAUGCCGCGUGUGUGAAGAAGGCCUUCGGGUUGUAAAGCACUUUCAGCGGGGAGGCGUUACCCGCAGAAGAAGCACCGGCUAACUCCGUGCCAGCAGCCGCGGUAAUUC
rnacentral:rRNA from 1 species